GACGAACGCUGGCGGCGUGCUUAACACAUGCAAGUCGAACGGUGAAGGGGUCUGCUUUUGUGGGCCCUGGAUGAGUGGCGAACGGGUGAGUAACACGUGAGUAACCUGCCCCCUUCUUCUGGAUAACCGCAUGAAAGUGUGGCUAAUACGGGAUAUUCUGGGUCUGUCGCAUGAUGGGUCUGGGAAAGAUUGCGCCUUUGGGUGUUUUUGGUGGGGGAUGGGCUCGCGGCCUAUCAGCUUGUUGGUGGGGUGACGGCCUACCAAGGCGGUGACGGGUAGCCGGCCUGAGGGGGUGGACGGUCACACUGGGACUGAGACACGGCCCAGACUCCUACGGGAGGCAGCAGUGGGGAAUAUUGCACAAUGGGCGCAAGCCUGAUGCAGCGACGCCGCGUGAGGGAUGGAGGCCUUCGGGUUGUAAACCUCUUUCGCCAGUGAAGCAGGCCUGCUCCUUGUGGGUGGGUUGACGGUAGCUGGAUAAGAAGCGCCGGCUAACUACGUG
rnacentral:rRNA from 1 species